AGAGUUUGAUCCUGGCUCAGGAUGAACGCUGGCGGCGCGCUUAACACAUGCAAGUCGAACGAGAAUCAGUGGAACAAGGAUUCGUCUGAGGGAAGCUGAGGAAAGUGGCGGACGGGUGAGUAACGCGUGAGCAAUCUGCCUUGGAGUGGGGAAUAACGGCUGGAAACAGCCGCUAAUACCGCAUGAUGCAUCUGAGUCGCAUGGUUUGGAUGCCAAAGAUUUAUCGCUCUGAGAUGAGCUCGCGUCUGAUUAGCUAGUUGGCGGGGUAAUGGCCCACCAAGGCGACGAUCAGUAGCCGGACUGAGAGGUUGGCCGGCCACUUUGGGACUGAGACACGGACCAGACUCCUACGGGAGGCAGCAGUGAGGAAUAUUGGUCUGUGGGCGCGAGCCUGAACCAGCCUACUCGCGUGAGGGAAGACCGCCCUACGGGUUGUAAACCUCUUUUGCCGGGGAGCAACGGGCGUCACGAGUGACGCCACUGAGAGUACGCGGAGAAAAAGCAUCUGCUAUCUCCGUGCCAGCAGCCGCGGUACUACGGAGGAUGCGAGCGUUAUCCUGAUUUAUUGGG
rnacentral:rRNA from 1 species